GACGAACGCUGGCGGCGUGCUUAACACAUGCAAGUCGAACGGAAAGGCCCUGCUUUUGUGGGGUGCUCGAGUGGCGAACGGGUGAGUAACACGUGAGUAACCUGCCCUUGACUUUGGGAUAACUUCAGGAAACUGGGGCUAAUACCGGAUAGGAGCUCCUGCUGCAUGGGGGGGGUUGGAAAGUUUCGGCGGUUGGGGAUGGACUCGCGGCUUAUCAGCUUGUUGGUGGGGUAGUGGCUUACCAAGGCUUUGACGGGUAGCCGGCCUGAGAGGGUGACCGGCAACAUUGGGACUGAGAUACGGCCCAGACUCCUACGGGAGGAAGCAGUGGGGAAUAUUGCACACUGGGCGGAAGCCUGAUGCAGCAACGCCGCGUGCGGGAUGACGGCCUUCGGGUUGUAAACCGCUUUCGCCUGUGACGAAGCGUGAGUGACGGUAAUGGGUAAAGAAGCACCGGCUAACUACGUG
rnacentral:rRNA from 1 species